rnacentral:rRNA from 1 species
UAUUUUUUUAGAUUAUUUUUUAUUGUUGAAAAAAUUAAAAACAAAUUGUUUUUUACAAUAAUUAAAAUUUAUAAUAUUUCAAUUUUUAAUUUUUAGUUUUAAAUAAAAAUUACAAAUAUGAAAAAUAAAAAAAUUUUGUUAUAAAUUAAAUUAAUUUAUUUAUAUUAAAAAUAUUUUUUAUAAUUUUUAUUUUUUUUUAUUUUUUUAAAAAAAAAAUAAUUUAAUUAUAAUUAUUUAUUUAAAUUUAAUAAUUAAAUAUAAAAUUUUUUAUUAAAUAAA